AAGAAAAAUAGAAACACCUGAUUUUUGAAGUAUUUAAAAUGUAAGGUUUGUUUAAUUUUCGGAUAAUAAAGUUUGGUUCCUAUCCAUUGGGCCUAAUCUAGUUACAACUCAAUCCAAUGGGUCUAGUAAACUUGCCUCAGCCCCAAUUUCCUGGUUAGUCCCACUAACGAAAUGUCAUUCCAAUGUAAAAUUUGGAACCUUCCCCAAUGGCGAUUUUAGGAUCCCAAUUUGACGCUUAUCUUCCUUCAUCGUCACCCUGAGAUCCUGCUUUGAGGCUCAAGAUUUAUCACCGAGUGUAUUCACUAAUUUUCAAUUUGGAAUGUUCUGUAGAGAAGCAAAAACCUCAAACAGAUGGCCAUCCCGCUUGAUUCCUUCCUGCUUCAACACCCAUUCAUUUUGCUGUUGGUGAUCUCUUGCAAAGGGUUGAAUCGAGUCAACAUCAAAUCCUUCAAUUCUCCCCAAGUUUAUAGGGGUUGGCAAUGAUCUACCCAUUGCAACUAAGCCAUGCUUCUCCAUCAAGGUUCUUGAGAAUUAGCUGCAGAGAUUUCCAUGAUUGAUCUAAGCUUUCCAUGUCAUAUGGAUCUAAAAGUAGGGGUGUUUGUUCAUGUAAAGAGAGGUUUCCUGUGUCGGUAUGCAUGCUGGAUAAAGAUUUUUGGGGUUGAAAAGUUGAAGUUAAUUUGUUAAUUGUUGAAGAUGUAAUUUCCUGUGUCAAACCCUCAACACGAAGAGUGAUUAGCUGUCUUUAUCUGUGCGGCAAUGACUACCAUUAAGAAAUAAAGCUCGUUUUCUUUCUUUCUUUA